AUCCGCGCUGCAUUAGCUAGUUGGUAAGGUAACGGCUUACCAAGGCAACGAUGCAUAGCCGCCCUGAGAGGGUGAUCGGCCACACUGGAACUGAGACACGGUCCAGACUCCUACGGGAGGCAGCAGUAGGGAAUCUUCCGCAAUGGGCGAAAGCCUGACGGAGCAACGCCGCGUGAGUGAUGAAGGUCUUCGGAUCGUAAAACUCUGUUAUUAGGGAAGAACAUAUGUGUAAGUAACUGUGCACAUCUUGACGGUACCUAAUCAGAAAGCCACGGCUAACUACGUGCCAGCAGCCGCGGUAAUACGUAGGUGGCAAGCGUUAUCCGGAAUUAUUGGGCGUA
rnacentral:rRNA from 1 species